rnacentral:rRNA from 1 species
AUUGAACGCUGGCGGCAUGCCUUACACAUGCAAGUCGAACGGCAGCACGGGUGCUUGCACCUGGUGGCGAGUGGCGCACGGGUGAGUAAUACAUCGGAACAUGUCCUGUAGUGGGGGAUAGCCCGGCGAAAGCCGGAUUAAUACCGCAUACGAUCUACGGAUGAAAGCGGGGGACCUUCGGGCCUCGCGCUAUAGGGUUGGCCGAUGGCUGAUUAGCUAGUUGGUGGGGUAAAGGCCUACCAAGGCGACGAUCAGUAGCUGGUCUGAGAGGACGACCAGCCACACUGGGACUGAGACACGGCCCAGACUCCUACGGGAGGCAGCAGUGGGGAAUUUUGGACAAUGGGCGAAAGCCUGAUCCAGCAAUGCCGCGUGUGUGAAGAAGGCCUUCGGGUUGUAAAGCACUUUUGUCCGGAAAGAAAUACUUGGCCCUAAUACGGUCGGGGGAUGACGGUACCGGAAGAAUAAGCACCGGCUAACUACGUG